CAGGCCUAACACAUGCAAGUCGAGGGGUAACAGGGAGUGCUUGCACUCCGCUGACGACCGGCGCACGGGUGCGUAACGCGUAUGCAACCUACCUUUUACAGGGGGAUAGUCAAUAGAAAUGUUGAAUAAUACCCCAUACGAUCUUUGAGGAGCAUUUCUUAGAGAGGAAAACUACGGUGGUAAAAGAUGGGCAUGCGUCCUAUUAGUUAGAUGGUAAGGUAACGGCUUACCAUGGCGACGAUAGGUAGGGGUCCUGAGAGGGAGACCCCCCACACUGGUACUGAGACACGGACCAGACUCCUACGGGAGGCAGCAGUGAGGAAUAUUGGACAAUGGAGGCAACUCUGAUCCAGCCAUGCCGCGUGCAGGAAGACGGCCCUACGGGUUGUAAACUGCUUUUAUACAGGAAGAAACCUAUCUACGUGUAGAUAGCUGACGGUACUGUACGAAUAAGGAUCGGCUAACUCCGUGCCAGCAGCCGCGGUAAUACGGAGGAUCCAAGCGUUAUCCGGAAUCAUUGGGUUUAAAGGGUCCGCAGGCGGUUUGUUAAGUCAGAGGUGAAAGCCUACCGCUCAACGGUAGAACGGCCUUUGAUACUGACAGGCUUGAGUUAUUGUGAAGUAGUUAGAAUGUGUAGUGUAGCGGUGAA
rnacentral:rRNA from 1 species